AACGCAAAUUGCGCUCUCGGGAUAGGCCUGAGAGCACGCCUCUUUGAGUAUCGAUUCCACCACCUCCAGAACAAACUUUGUUUUGACACUGGGAAUUUGAGUGCUUCAUAUCUUCGGAUGUGUCACUUGAAGCGGAAUGGAAUUGAGGGUCUGCGAAACUGCUGUUGAAUAUUCAUAGGCUGAAGUAGACUUGAACAUGGAUAAAUUUCCAAUGAUCAAUAAACUUUGGCGUUUUGAUAUAAGCGAACUCUAAGUUUUGCAAAGAAAAAGCCCUCUCCUAACUAAUAUCUUAACAAUCUAAGAAUUAGAUCUCAAAUGAAGCGAGACAACCCGCUGAACUUAA
rnacentral:misc_RNA from 1 species